rnacentral:tRNA from 1 species
CUAAAAAUAAGCUAAAAAAGCUAUUGGGCUCAUAACUCAAAAAUGAUUAAAAUCUUUUUAGA